GAUGUGCUGCUCGUGUCCUUGCUAUAACCAGCUGCCCGCCUGGCACAGAGGACUUCUGCUGGCCCCCCGCCCCAGGCCUGCGGGGCUCUUUACUCCGCCGCCCCCUCCCCCAUGGCACAAGGCAGAGCGCUCACUUAGAUUAAUUAAUCUGCUGCCUGGCCUGCUCCUCCGGCCCAUCUUUUAUUCAUGGGCAAGCGGCGUUCUGCUUUACCAGGACGCAAGCAUCAAUAUUUCAUCCUUGCUUCGCCUGCCAGCGUCCCGCUCCCUCCUCCCUGCUUCUCACCGGCUCUAGGACCCAGAGAGCUGGGCCACGCUGGCCUGACCCAGGGCGUCAUCACAGAUGUCUACGCUGCCUUCAGCUUGCCCGCCGUGCCAUCGUGGACUCCAGAGUCUGCACAAGAAGCCCUUCUGAACCAGGUGUCGUUGGUUUUUUUUCCACCUCCCAGGCCUAGGCAGGUGGAUGAAGAAAGCAGCACGGCUGUUCAGGAGCACACAUCCCUCUGGCCAGCCCCCAGCCCGUCUCUUCUCGUCCACUUGAGGUCACAGAGGAAUGCGCUGCGCUCUGCCCGGGGGGUCCUGGCAGAGUGUGGAGCCGGGAUGGAAGCAGUCACUCUCAGGAGGCCUUUGGGCAGACUGUGGUCCUUUCUCCGGCCGGUGGCCAGCUCUUCAUUUCUGGGUUGGGACUGGGGUUGAGGAUGCCUGCUGAGAUUCAGAAAAGGGACACUCAUCCCAGGUCUGUGUGGCGUCUGGUGGACUGGCCCGGGACACCGGGCAGUGGCUGGCUGGCGCCUCCCCCUGGGCCCUCUUCUGCACCCUGGCUCUCUGGCUCUGGCACCUUCACCUCUAUCUCGGUGACUUUGCUGCCUGCUUCCU